rnacentral:rRNA from 1 species
UUCGAUUAGUUUGAUCAUGGCUCAGAUUGAACGCUGGCGGCAUGCCUAACACAUGCAAGUCGAACGGCAGCACAGCUUAAGCUUGCUUAAGUGGGUGGCGAGUGGCGGACGGGUGAGUAAUGCAUCGGGACCUACCUGAACGUGGGGGAUAACGUAGGGAAACUUACGCUAAUACCGCAUACGUCCUACGGGAGAAAGCGGGGGACCUUCGGGCCUCGCGCGGUCAGACGGACCGAUGUUCGAUUAGCUAGUUGGUAAGGUAAUGGCUUACCAAGGCGACGAUCGAUAGCUGGUCUGAGAGGAUGAUCAGCCACACUGGAACUGAGACACGGUCCAGACUCCUACGGGAGGCAGCAGUGGGGAAUAUUGGACAAUGGGCGCAAGCCUGAUCCAGCAAUGCCGCGUGUGUGA